UCCUUAUCCUAAUGCAUGGAAUCAAUUGAAUGAAUAAUGAAUUUAAUUAAAUAAGUAAGUCUCAUACUUAGGUUCAUAUUUAAAUUAAAUUAUUAAAAAGAAUCUUAUUUUAAGAAAGUCUAAAAGAUUAGCACGUGAGUCCUACUAAUCUCUCCAUUUGUCUUAAUAAAAAUUAUGGGGCUUCUCAUGCACAUACUUCCAAAAAUAAUCCUCUUUUUAACUAUAUUAUCUUUUUUUAAAAAAAGAAUUAAGUAAUACUUUAAAAAAUGUAAUUUUUAGAAGUUAAUAAAAUAAUCAAAGUGAAAAUUCCAAAAAAAAUAUUUUUUUA
rnacentral:lncRNA from 1 species